rnacentral:tRNA from 1 species
AGCUUAAUGUUUUGGAAACUGUAAACCUUGAAAGUUUAUAACAGGUGUUCGACUCCCCUUUUAGCU